GAGAGUGAACUCUAGCCUGCAGGCUAGAGUUCACUCUCGCGAGAUCUGAGCGUUGCCGUGGUAACCGAGAUCUGAGCGUUGCCGUGGUAACCGAGAUCUGAGCGUUGCCGUGGUAACCGUUGCCGUGGUAACCGUUGCCGUGGCACCGCUCAGAUCUCGCGAGAGUGAACUCUAGCCUGCAGGCUAGAGUUCACUC